rnacentral:tRNA from 1 species
AGGAAAGAAGCUAAAAUUAAAGCAAUUAGUUGUUACCUAAUAGAAAGUGAAUAUCUUCACCUUUCCUAC